AGUCUUCACCCGGGGUGUCCAGAACUUGAGGGCGGGUCCAUUAGGAACUAAAUUAAGAAACUGAGUCCUGGAGUGAACCGACGGUCGUCCCACCAAACAAGAAGGCUGGAUUUGAGGCGGUCGCACUCCCCCGGGCUUCCUGAAAUAAAAAGCAGCGCCCCGUUCGCAGCCCAUCGGCAACAAGCAGCACCCGUCUGCCCAGCCGCCUCCCCCGGCGGCGCCCGGCCCCGCGGCGACUAGCCUACCGCACCUGCGGCUACCCCCAGUCCCGGCAACCACCCCGCCCUAGCCAGGCCGCACCAGCCGCGCCGCGGUUCCGGGCCGUAGUGCCAGGAGGCGCGCGCGCCCUCCCUCAGGGCUGUAGCUACCAAGCGGGGGAGGAAGACCCCCCAGGUGAACCCUGGAGGCCCCUCGCCUCAGAAAGGGGCCCUGUAGCCCAGCUGCAGCCUCUCCGCAGACCGCCAGUCUGGCUCUGAGAGGCCGGCCGCCGCUGGCUGCCCUCCCGCAGACACCCCGGUGGUCAGGACCGCCGUCGCCCCUCCGCCCCCGAGGACUCAGACUCUGACCGGUUCCUCGCCUUUCGGCCGGUCCCGGAGCUGUCACCCCCGGUACCUCUCGGCGAACACUGGAAGCAGCCAGCAGUGGCUAACCCCGCGGUCCCUCAGCGGCGGGCGGCGCAGCGCACUCUCCAGCGCCGGCGUCUCCUCCAGCCACCAGUCUCUGCCGCAGCUCACAACAAAGGAAACAUGUGACCGUCCGGGCCAAAACACUGAGCGUCAGCGAACCCUGGCCAAUCCGGGUGGGCGUCCUCCGCCCCGGGGAACCCUGGGAGAUGUAGUUCACGCUUCCCGGUGGCCUCCGGGGCCACCUGGGGCUCCCGCCGUGGGGUGGGUGUCGGGUGCCCAAGAGGACGAGACCCACCCAAAGGGCUGCUGACUCAAAAACACCUUGUUUUAAGCAGAGACAGUUAAAAAAAUGCCUCUUGUGUAAGGAGCCGAGUGAGAAGCCAGAGUCGUUUCUUUCCUUCCCUCAAAGGCCCCUGCCACGUCCCAAGGAAAAAGCCCGCGAUCAGCCCUUCGACUUUAAAGCUUGGGUCGAAGCUUAGAGAGCUUUUUAUUUGACCCUUUGAUAGACAAUCGGAAAUCAGGCCUGAGGGCCUGCAGGGUGGACGAGACUAAAACCCCAGUCCUUAGAAGGAGCAAGGAAAACCACCUCUUUUUUUUUGAUAAAGCUGUUACUGUCCCUGGUAUCAAAUCCUAGGUUACCUUUUUAUUUUAAACGCACAUGCACGUCGACCAAAGCUGUCACAAAUCCCUGUUUUCCAAGGUAGAUGGAGUUCCUAAAGGACAUUGUGUUGUCGUUUUGUGUCUGCAAGCUUUUUGUUUUGUUUCGUUUUGAGACAGAGUUUCGCUCUGCCACUCAGGGUGGAGUGCAGUGGCGCAAUCUCGGCCCACUGCAACCUCUGCCUCCCGGGUUCAGGCGAUUCUCCCGCCUUAGCCUCCCGAGUAGCUGAGACUACAGGUGCCCGCCACCACGCCCAGGUAAUGUUUUGUAUUUUUAGUAGAGGCUGUGUUAGCCAGGCUGGUCUCGAACUUCUGGCCUCAAGUGAUCCGCCUGCCUUGGCCUCCCACAGUGCUAGGAUUACAGGCAUGAGCCACUGCGCCCCGCCUGCAGGUAUUCUUUUAAAGGAUGAUUGCAACCAUUUAACUAGUUUUUGGUUUCUGAUACCAAAUUUAAAAAUCUCUAUCUUCUACAUGUCAUGAAUACCGUCAUGCCUCUAUUAAAUUAGGCGUUGUGUUCUGAUGACCAGAGGCGGAAAUAAUAUGGAAGGCCUAUAUACAGGCCUUUUAAACAUACUUUUUAGGCCUCUUUUCCAUCUCUUAUUCAAUUAUUUGAGCUAUUUCUUCUGGUAUUUAUAUAUUUCCAAAUAAUGUAUGACUAUUUCCUAUUAAGGAAGCUAUCCUUCUCAUAAUCUGGUUAAAUCAUUAAUGUUUACGCUAAUGAGACCAUGUAUUUAUUAUUCAUUGUUGAGACAAAUCGUAUACAAUUUCCCAUCUUGUAUGGCUUUUGGUUUUCCUUGGAGUUUUAAUAAUUAUCCUCUUUCUUUGCUUAUUUUAUUAUGGAUCUAUCACAAUGUCCUCUUAGUUUUUCUAAAACGAUAAAAUGCUUUCAAU
rnacentral:lncRNA from 10 species